CACUGGGACUGACAGCUGAAACAAAAACAAAACUACGAAAAGUCUAGCACACGUGCAAUGUGACAACGGUCUCCCAGAGGAGCUGAAUCAGUCGUCUUAUAAAGAGACCCCUUUCUGAGACAUCUCUGGCUUCAGACGCCCCAGAUUGGCUCCAGGAAUAGAAAGAUUUUUCCCAUUUCUCUUGAAUCUACUAGACACCAGCAGGCUGGGGGCUGAGGGAAUGCAUUGUCAUCCUGAGGUGAGCACAUGUGCCUUCUGGAAGAAAAGAAAAGAAG